rnacentral:rRNA from 1 species
GACGAACGCUGGCGGCGUGCUUAACACAUGCAAGUCGAACGGAAAGGCCCUGCUUUUGUGGGGUGCUCGAGUGGCGAACGGGUGAGUAACACGUGAGUAACCUGCCCUUGACUUUGGGAUAACUUCAGGAAACUGGGGCUAAUACCGGAUAGGAGCUCCUGCUGCAUGGUGGGGGUUGGAAAGUUUCGGCGGUUGGGGAUGGACUCGCGGCUUAUCAGCUUGUUGGUGGGGUAGUGGCUUACCAAGGCUUUGACGGGUAGCCGGCCUGAGAGGGGGACCGGCCACAUUGGGACUGAGAUACGGCCCAGACUCCUACGGGAGGAAGCAGUGGGGAAUAUUGCACAAUGGGCGGAAGCCUGAUGCAGCAACGCCGCGUGCGGGAUGACGGCCUUCGGGUUGUAACCCGCUUUCGCCUGUGACGAAGCGUGAGUGACGGUAGUGGGUAAAGAAGCACCGGCUAACUACGUG